AUUGAACGCUGGCGGCAUGCUUUACACAUGCAAGUCGAACGGUAACAGGCCUUCGGGUGCUGACGAGUGGCGAACGGGUGAGUAAUGCAUCGGAACGUGCCCAAUCGUGGGGGAUAACGUAGCGAAAGUUACGCUAAUACCGCAUAAGCCCUGAGGGGGAAAGUGGGGGAUCGCAAGACCUUGCGCUGAUUGAGCGGCCGAUAUCAGAUUAGCUAGUUGGUGAGGUAAAGGCUCACCAAGGCGACGAUCUGUAGCGGGUCUGAGAGGAUGAUCCGCCACACUGGAACUGAGACACGGUCCAGACUCCUACGGGAGGCAGCAGUGGGGAAUUUUGGACAAUGGGGGCAACCCUGAUCCAGCCAUGCCGCGUGAGUGAAGAAGGCCU
rnacentral:rRNA from 1 species